rnacentral:rRNA from 1 species
GGGACUGUGGCGGCCUGCUAUACAUGCAAGUCGAGCGAACGGACGAGAAGCUUGCUUCUCUGAUGUUAGCGGCGGACGGGUGAGUAACACGUGGAUAACCUACCUAUAAGACUGGGAUAACUUCGGGAAACCGGAGCUAAUACCGGAUAAUAUUUUGAACCGCAUGGUUCAAAAGUGAAAGACGGUCUUGCUGUCACUUAUAGAUGGAUCCGCGCUGCAUUAGCUAGUUGGUAAGGUAACGGCUUACCAAGGCAACGAUGCAUAGCCGACCUGAGAGGGUGAUCGGCCACACUGGAACUGAGACACGGUCCAGACUCCUACGGGAGGCAGCAGUAGGGAAUCUUCCGCAAUGGGCGAAAGCCUGACGGAGCAACGCCGCGUGAGUGAUGAAGGUCUUCGGAUCGUAAAACUCUGUUAUUAGGGAAGAACAUAUGUGUAAGUAACUGUGCACAUCUUGACGGUACCUAAUCAGAAAGCCACGGCUAACUACGUGCCAGCAGCCGCGGUAAUACGUAGGUGGCAAGCGUUAUCCGGAAUUAUUGGGCGUAAAGCGCGCGUAGGCGGUUUUUUAAGUCUGAUGUGAAAGCCCACGGCUCAACCGUGGAGGGUCAUUGGAAACUGGAAAACUUGAGUGCAGAAGAGGAAAGUGGAAUUCCAUGUGUAGCGGUGAAAUGCGCAGAGAUAUGGAGGAACACCAGUGGCGAAGGCGACUUUCUGGUCUGUAACUGACGCUGAUGUGCGAAAGCGUGGGGAUCAAACAGGAUUAGAUACCCUGGUAGUCCACGCCGUAAACGAUGAGUGCUAAGUGUUAGGGGGUUUCCGCCCCUUAGUGCUGCAGCUAACGCAUUAAGCACUCCGCCUGGGGAGUACGACCGCAAGGUUGAAACUCAAAGGAAUUGACGGGGACCCGCACAAGCGGUGGAGCAUGUGGUUUAAUUCGAAGCAACGCGAAGAACCUUACCAAAUCUUGACAUCCUUUGACACUCUAGAGAUAGAGCCUUCCCCUUCGGGGGACAAAGUGACAGGUGUGCAUGGAUGUCGUCAGCUCGUGUCGUGAGAUGUUGGGUAAGUUCCGCAACGAGCGCAAACUCUUAAGCUUAGUUGCAAUCAUUAGUUGGCACCUCUAAGUUGACUGGCGUGACAAACGAGAAGUUGGGGAUGACGUCAUCAUCAUGCCUUUUAUGAUUGCUACACGUGCUACAUGGACAAUUACCAAAGGUCGCGCGAAAACGCUGCGGAGAGUUA